AGAUUGAACGCUGGCGGCAUGCCUAACACAUGCAAGUCGAACGGGAGUAGCAAUACUCUAGUGGCGGACGGGUGAGGAAUACAUAGGAAUUUGCCCUUAAGUGGGGAUAACCCGGGAACCGGAUUAAUACCGCAUGACCUCGAAAGAGCAAAGUGGGGAUCGCAAGACCUCACGCUUUGGAGAAGCCUACGUCGGAUUAGCUAGUUGG
rnacentral:rRNA from 1 species